rnacentral:rRNA from 1 species
AUACGUAGGGGGCAAGCGUUGUCCGGAAUUAUUGGGCGUAAAGCGCGCGCAGGCGGUCAUUUAAGUCUGGUGUUUAAACCUUGGGCUCAACCUAAGGUCGCACUGGAAACUGGGUGACUUGAGUACAGAAGAGGAAAGUGGAAUUCCACGUGUAGCGGUGAAAUGCGUAGAUAUGUGGAGGAACACCAGUGGCGAAGGCGACUUUCUGGGCUGUAACUGACGCUGAGGCGCGAAAGCGUGGGGAGCAAUCAGGAUUAGAUACCCUGGUAGUCCACGCCGUAAACGAUGAGUGCUAGGUGUUAGGGGUUUCGAUACCCUUGGUGCCGAAGUUAACACAGUAAGCACUCCGCCUGGGGAGUACGGUCGCAAGACUGAA